ACGCAAUCGUGAUUCUGCAGAAUCGUGAUUUGAAUCAUGAUUCUAGGGUAAAAAAGUGUCGAAUAAACGCACCCUUAGUUAUCUUACAAUAUCCUGAAGGUGUCCAAAUUGGUGCAAAGAUAUCACAAUGGUUUGUAGUCCAUUGUUGGCAGGCAGGUACAUAUACAUCUCUGCAGCACAAGUGUACAUUAGAAGGACAUUAAAUAUAAGUGAUAUUUGCUAAUCUCCUUAGAGAUAUUAUAGUGAUCAUCAUGGGACUGAAUACUCCAUACAUAGAGUAGUAUAGUACAUGUAUAUACAUUCUCAAUUCCUGCAUUUUGCAAGCAUGAAGUUUUGCUUUUAUAAUAAGAGCUUAAGGAUGUUUUAAGGUAAAAAUUAAUUUUGAUAGAAAUAUCAAUACACUCAUUGCUUUGUAAAAUAUUGUUUUAGAGAGCUACAUGUAUUUCUUUUGAAGGAAUUAAAAGGUAUUAAGGUCACCCUAAUGUCAUGUUAUUUUUUUAAGUAGAAAAAUUAGGUAAAGUGUGUUACAGGUCUGAAUGAAGUGGGAGUUUAAGCCAUUGACUACUGGAAACAGGUAGUCCCUUUGUAAAUUUUAUUGGAAUAUUGUAAUUAAGUAGUCAAUAGGUUAAAUGAAAUGUAAGUAAUGAUCAUCUUUAUGGUAGAUAUGUUUGAUGAGUCUUCAGAGCCUUGUUUGAUCUUCGUGCCUUGGUUAAUUCAGCCAACCAUAUUUCAUUCUUGAUAUCACUUUACAGGCAUCACUAUAUAUAUUCAAUUCGUGUUUAGUUUUUAUACUGUUGUGAUUGUACAGAGGUGAGCAUAAUUUAAAUGAGCCAUUGUAUUGUAUGAUUAUAAUCAAUGGUAAAUUGUAUAUUUAGAUAUUUGCUUUUUACUACAAUCAAAGUAUGGUAUAUCAAAACCCUAUUCUGUUUUGGUUUACCCUUAAGAUGACAGUGGUUUCUUGUUUGAAGAUUGCCAUUAGCAUGACAAAAUAAAAGUUAAUCCUAGCAUUGGUAAAAAAAAAUUAUAGGAACAAGGAUUUCUACCAGAUUAUUUUGCUCAUGCCUUCAAUUUUUUUUUAUUGUUUGUUUCUAUUUUUUAUAUUUUAAUGAUUUAUUUGUUUUAAUUGUAAUUAUAUAUGUAUAUAAUUUUUUUUUUUUGGGGGGGGGAUCAUAUUCAAUAGUUAAUGUACAACUGCUGAUGCUGAAAGUGUUAGUAUAAAGAAACUAUGACUUUAAUUUUUUUAUUUCUGUUGUAUUUCAUUGAAUGUGGAUAAUGAAAUAGCAGAUUACUGAAAAAAUAUAAUAUAUUUUUUGCAGAAGUGGUUUAGAAACCAGCUGCUCAUUGUUUGAAAUUUGGUCUUUAAAAAUAGUUCAUAGUUAACAUGUUUUUUUAAAUUAUAAUUUGAUUUGCGUUUGUUACCUAUAUUAUACUUAUGCUGGUAAAUAACUAAGGAGUUAACAUGAUUGCCUAUUACUUACACAGGUUAGUUAUUAGAGUAGGCCUAGGGAGCAUGUAAGUCUGUUUGACAAGUGCAACUCAAGAAUAUUCAGAUAUCCCAUACUGGUCUUGGUCUUGCAUGUAAUACUCAGAAUAUUCCAGUCAAUAAUGGAAAUAUAAGUUGAAGCAUAUGAGCAGUGCCAUGUCUGUGAACUGUUGGUUGUAAUUGUAAAUAUUCUUGAAUCAGUCAUUAUAACAGCAUGCACAUGUACUUUAUCAAUUUUUAGAUUGGUUAUUCUAGGUGUAUUUCACAGAUAUCAAAUUAUUUCCAGCAUGCCAUAAAGAAAAAUGUUUAAGAAUUACUAUGUAGUUGGUAGCAUUUUGAUGUCAGUACAUGAUUUGCUUUAGUAAUCAAAAAGUUGAUUACUAAAGCAACUGUAAUCAAAACUAACUGAAAUAAAUGUGACAAUGAGUGAAUGAGAAAUUGACCAGAUUAACCCUAACUGGGCUGGGGUAAGGUCUUAUACCCCCCCACCCUCCCUCAACAUUUGGUGUGAAUUAAUUCUACCUUUCUAAAAAGAUUUCACUGCAAUGUCGUACAACAUAUUUUUACCUAGUUUUCCACAUCUUGGGAUACUAAAUUUGUUACCCCCAGUAUGCAUAUAAUCUUAAGAUACACUCAUCAUACCAAAAUGAAAAAAACAUAUAUUUUGUGUAGAAUUUUGAUAAAGGCUGUGUUUUAGCCCAAAUUUAUAGUAUGAUUACAUUAUUGCCAUUACUUAAUCACAACGAAUAAGUUACAUGUUUUUUUAUGAUUGCAAAAAUGUAGCUAGUAAACCUAAAUGUCUGAUAACUAAAGGUGAAUUUGCGUACAUAAGAAUAACAUUAACUAUCAUAUUAGGAUGUUUAUGGAUUUAUAUCACCCCCCUGAUUUCACAAUUUAACAUUGAUAUAAAAGUAUCAAUAAAAAAAUGAAAUGUAGAGUUUGCAGCUUAUGCUAUGGGCAAACUGUGUGCUGAUCUUUUCAAAAAGUCAAUUAUGUGAUCAAUAGCCAAGAUCAUUAUGUACCAAAUAGCUGGCUUAAUUAGGGUUAAACUUUGCCACUUUCUCUUUUUUUUCAUUUGGUGAAACAGAUGAGAAAAUUAAUCUAUGAUCAGGACAAAAUGUUCAGUGUUUUUGUAAAUUAUGUGAUAUAGCAUGAAAUGCAAGAUAGUUUUUGUAACAAAUGUGUUGUAUUGUAAUUGGUACAGUGUGUCAAAUUGAUGAAAAUAUGGGGGAGUUACAGGGAGGCUCUGGGCUGAACAUAGUUACAUCUUAAUACAGUAAAAAUCACUGGGCAAAGUGCUGAAAAUUUCAUCAAAAUCUGAUCACAAAUAAUGAAAUUUAAAGUUUAGCAAAACAGUUUAAUGCCCAUGUUCAUAAGGUGGAGUGGCCACAUCCCCACUUUCGCUUUUAUGUUACAUUUAUUUAAUGAAAUCACAAUUUCAUUUUUUCAUACAUGUGUUGUCUCUGUUGUAUCAAUAUGUUACAGCUGUGAAUAUCUAAUUCAGUUUUCAGUUAGCUCAUUGAAUAUUCAUGAAGACAUGCCUAGAACUGUUUCAUAAAAACAAUGCAAAUCUUUAAAAUGCUGUAAUAGUGCUAUUCUUUGUCCAGUUUUGAUGUCAUUUUCAGUGUUUUGUUUGUCUGAUAUAUUGUAUUUUCAGCCAGAAGUACCCCUUUAAAACAGUCUGAUGUAGUGAACAGAGGAUAAAAUACAUAUAUUUUGACAUGUUGGCAAGUUUUUCUUUAAUUGCUAUUUUUGCGUGGAAUUAUGAAAUUUGCUGUGAUAUCUUGGCAUAAGGCAUCUUUUUGGUGAAAAAGAAAUAUAGAGCAGCUGGAAAUAAUUAUAUUUCUAUUUAAAGGAUUUUUGUAUAUAAUGAGGUUUAUGAGGAACUGUCUACAUGUACAUGGUCUGUUUUAAUCUUUUUAUGUCGAUGUUGAUCAUAUUCUUAAGUAGAAAACAAUAUGAUCUCAUUUUGAGUACUUUGGAAAUACUUCUAACCUGUUUGUAUCAGCUGUAUGCAACAUCACAAACCUACAUGAAGCAAACUUGUUUUAAUUUAAGAUAAAAAGUUUAUUGUUUAACAAUUCAAAAAAUUGAUGGUAUUCCAGAAUACAAAAUGUUUUUAAAAGCUUAAAAUGAAUGGAAUUGUUAUUACUUUAACCAUUAUUGUAUCAUUGCACAAGUCAAUUGAUUGGUCAUUUUCCAAAAUACAACUUAUAACAAAAUAUUUUGGGGGACAUAAUUGAUUUAUCAUCAAGCUUAUUUUCAAAGUUUCAAAUCGCUAUUACUUGUAUGUAUUUAUACAAUAUAUUUCUAUAAUCAUUCUACAUUUGAAAUGAAAUUAGCAAUGCAGACCUCUUGACAUUUCUGAAAGAAAUGUAGGAUUUUUCUGUAAAACGAAAGAGAAAACAAGAAAACGAUCUGAUUGGAUCCAAUGACUAGUUCUAAUAACUGGUCCUGGUUUUGAGAAGAGGAUGUUAUAUCAAAUAACACAGAUCCAAACAACACUGCAUACCCAUUGUUUUGCUCAGGGUUCAGAAUGAUAACAUACAACUUGUUACCUUUGAAUAAGUCCAAAUGCCCUUGGCUAGGCUUUGGGCGUGUUAGAAUUGUUCCAAAGGUACCUCAUGCGUUUGGUUCUUACUAUCUUGAUCUUGAUGAUGUGUAUCUUAUGUAUAUCAUGAACCUGGUUCCAUGAUAUCCACUCCGGCAACAAUUUCUCUGCUAUAAAUUCCACAAACAACUAGAAUGGCCGACUUCAGUCCUGGGUUUAACACUAUAUAUUCCCUAUCCUAAACCUAGUCAUAAAACACUAUUGAAACCCUAACCCUAUAUUUCAGACGAAAUAAGCCCAGAGCAAUUGUCGCCAAAGCAACUGUCGCGUCACCUACUAGCCUUGCAUAAGAACGGAUGCCAUCCAAGUAUCAUCGCACCUGUUGCAUUUCAGGUAUACUACACUGGUCAAAAUAUACCUUAUGCAUUGUCAUAAUCUCAAAGCGCCCUCCCUCAGAGGAUAUAGUAAUACAUGUAAACAGAGUUGUCAGAGAUGUGUCAGCUGCAGAUCACCAAUGCAGGCAGGACAAUGGCUUCAGCCUCUUAGAUAGUGGCGCAAUGUGUCAGUGCAUAAAACAUCUAUUAGGAUUCCAUUUUCUGAAUUCAGAAUGGUUGAAAGGUCUGUGAAGCCUAGUAUGAUGUUUCUUGAUGUUUGUCUAAUUUCACACUUUUUAAAGUUAAGAUUACCACACAAUAUUCAGUGUCUUGGAUGUCCUUGACUGCAACUAUAAUUGUAAUCAACAUCCAUGGUAGCAAAGCUGAAUUAUAAUUUCAAUGUGUAAGCCCUAAAAUUACCAGUGUUACUACAUGUAAGUUACUCAUGCAAGCUUCCUGUAAACAUAAGAUUUGCACUGGCAACGUUGGAUGCAAGAUUAUACUCCAUACAGGGCCAUUAAGAAAGUGGGUUGUUUUCUUCAGUUUUCUGAUGUGCAAAUUGGAACAAUUCCAAUAUUUGGCAAAACGGGGAUGUGCCCCCUCAAUUCAUGCAUUUUCUGUAAAAGUUAACUACCCAUGUUAUUUGUAUAUUGAAUUUUUUUAUAUCGGUGAAGUAAACUGAUGUGACUACCACUCCAAAACCAAGAAACCGGUGCCUUGAAGUUUCUUCGUCAGUAGCCAAAAUAUUAAUUUGGACAAAGUAAACAUGAAUUAGUUUAUCUCAAAGAAUAAUUCUUCCUUUGACACCAUUUUUUCUGGACUAUGUGCACAUAUCAUGCUCGAGUAACCCCAAACUGUAAACUUCGUUUUGAAGCCUCUCACUGAAUUUGUCCUGCUUUAAUCAAGUACUUUGUGGGUGAUUUUGAUCAAUUUUGACAAGAUACAUAUAUAAUUUCAAGGCUUAUGAAAUGCUUUUACUAGAUCAAUUCAUAUCUCAAAAUUCAUUUUGGGUGACUUAUUGUUGGUUUAGGGGUGGCAGGUCACAAAGCAGCCACUUAAAAAAAUCAUUCACAGCAAUUACACAGAAUAUUGUUUGAACUUAAUUCAAGGCAUUCAGAUCUUUGUUAUAUUUGAUAACCAUCAGCUUGUGGAGAAUCAAUUCAUCAGCUCAACUUCUAUAUUUUUCAUGAAAUGUACUACUCAGACAUUGUUAAGUGUUUUCUUUCAAUUAAAGUAUUAAUUCACUAGA